CGAGCAUUGUCAUUCAUAAAGUUCUAUCUCAGGGUUAUGUAAUACAGACAGGAAACAAUCAAGUUUACCCAAGAGUUCAACAUCACCCCUAAAUUAAUUUAUUACUUGACAAAUGAAUGUACUGACACCUCAAGUGAACCCAAAAAAGACAAUAUACACCCGACCGCUUCCCUGUUUACCGACACUUUGUUGCAUAUACGGUUCUAAUGUAUAAAGCACUGCCAGACGACCAUCAUCAAUUACCUGAUAAGAGUCCCUCAUGGUGCAACAUAAAAUCGGCACAUGAACACCUCCUAUGUUACGAAAAUGCGUCCAACUUUGUGGUAACAACUUAGCCACUUUCUCUUUUGCAGUUCCCAGGCAAGAGAUACUUAUACUUCUCGGGAUUAUCCAGCAAAUGCGCAGGAAGAUGCACGGCUGAGUAAGAAUGAGGUAGAGGUCCCAUGUUACCAAUGAUAUCCUUG
rnacentral:misc_RNA from 1 species